UACGGAGGGUGCAAGCGUUGUCCGGAUUUAUUGGGUUUAAAGGGUGCGUAGGCGGCUGAAUAAGUCAGCGGUGAAAGACUUCGGCUUAACCGGAGCAGUGCCGUUGAUACUGUUUGGCUUGAGUGUUGAAGGGGUACAUGGAAUUGAUGGUGUAGCGGUGAAAUGCAUAGAUACCAUCAGGAACACCGAUAGCGAAGGCAUUGUACUGGCCAACAACUGACGCUGAGGCACGAAAGUGUGGGGAUCGAACAGG
rnacentral:rRNA from 1 species